CUAGCUACUAGGCUUCGACUUCGACGAUACGUACCAAUCCCACACAGAAUAUUUUUGUCAUCUUUAUGUGCGAAUUUAUCUUGAACUCUAUUGGAAAAAUGAAACUAGAGUCUUUAUCGGGGCAAAACUGUGACUUGUCUUAAUUGCCCAUUCCUAUUCCAUUUCUGCCCUCGUCUCUUCUACAUCUACCAACCUACUCUGCAUAGCAAAAGAAAAGAAAAAAGGCCAACUUGCUCCCUAGCAUCCGAGAGAAAUGGCUCCUCUCUAACCCCAAAACCCUAAGCGCAGCAUCGUCCACGGCGGCGGCGGCAGCGGCCAUAGCCGCAGCUACUUCAGAACUUCGAGGUGCGUGCGAACAAGAAAUGUUUUUUUUUCUUCUUCUUGAUCAAGCAUGGAUUGCCGGUGCUCCUGGGAAUUCGUACCAUGGUUGAUUAGGAGCCGAGAAGCUGGUAUGCGCGAUGCGCGCAUCUUCGUCCCUCUUUUUGUUGUGUGUGAUGCCUAUCCGUCCCUUCUUUCUGCUUGUUUUUUUUUCGGAUGCAUCUGGUAUUCCCGAUCCGUUCUGUAUAGCAGCGUAGACCUCAAAGUUAGAUAUCUUUCUCGACAACUUAAUUUUGGUCCCUAUUAGCCCCGGAAGGCGCCGUUCUACGAAAAGGGCCCAAGCACAGGUGGUGCGGCGCCACUGAAUGCUGAUGGCAAAGCGCUCUGCAAAUACGGUCACGGGGACAACAAAGAGCCGCAAUAUUAUGGGCUGUAAGGAUCCGUUCGUGGAGGGGACAGGGGAACUGGGGAAGAACUAGGCUUAGGCUCUGUGUUUGUCUUCCUUUUUUUUGAGAGUAUAUUUCUAAUUGAACUGUG
rnacentral:lncRNA from 1 species